CAGUCAGAGAUCUCAUCCCAAUACUUCCAAGUCUCGAGGUAGGAAAGGGGCAGCAGCAGCAGAGGGAGGAGGUGGACUGCGGGCAUGCAUCUGAGCAAGGCCCCAGGUGGUGUGGGGAACAGAAGUGAAGGGUACAGAGGGUCAGUGAGGUCUCCCAGGGUCUCACUGGGAGCAGUGAUGAGAAUACAGAACACAGGAGCCAGGGUACAUUUGAGAGGAAGGAGAUCAAUUCCGCCUGCAGGGAGAAAGGCAACUGCAAUGGGAGCCCAAAGCAUCCAGCCCGCUCUAAACAUCCCCACAAGGAUACCCACGGCUCCCAUUGCAGUUGCCUUUCUCCCUGCAGGCGGAAUUGAUCUCCUUCCUCUCAAAUGUACCCUGGUUCCUGUGUUCUGUAUUCUCAUCACUGCUCCCAGUGAGACCCUGGGAGACCUCACUGACCCUCUGUACCCUUCACUUCUGUUCCCCACACCACCUGGGGCCUUGCUCAGAUGCAUGC
rnacentral:lncRNA from 1 species